CGGAGGAUCCAAGCGUUAUCCGGAUUUAUUGGGUUUAAAGGGUGCGUAGGCGGCUUUUUAAGUCAGGGGUGAAAAGACGGUGGCUCAACCAUCGCAGUGCCUUUGAUACUGAGAAGCUUGAUUAAACUUGAGGCAGGCGGAAUGUGACAAGUAGCGGUGAAAUGCAUAGAUAUGUCACAGAACACCGAUUGCGAAGGCAGCUUGCUAAGGUCUUAAUGACGCUGAGGCACGAAAGCGUGGGGAUCAAACAGGAUUAGAUACCCUGGUAGUCCACGCCCUAAACGAUGAAUACUCGAUGUUAGCGAUAUACAGUUAGCGUACAAAGCGAAAGCGUUAAGUAUUCCACCUGGGGAGUACGCCCGCAAGGGUG
rnacentral:rRNA from 1 species